AGUCCUGUAGCUCAGUGGUUAGAGCCCUCGCCUUGUAAGCGAGAGGACUGGGUUCGAUUCCCAACCAGGACGA